rnacentral:sRNA from 1 species
AUGUACCACUCGUAUGCCCCGGCUCCUGCGCGCCGUCCGUGCCCACCUGGCGGCCGCUGGCUACGUUUUCCUGGCU